UUAUAUUCAACCUCCAGUCCGUAUUCGCGAAGUUAAUCGUCGGAUAAAUAUACAGUUCAUCUAUUGAUCGUUGCAAUUGAUCUUCGAAUUCCGGAACUUAGAUUCUGAAUUUUCAACCAUGGAAGGAACCAAAGGCGCCGGUGGAAGAAAAGGUGGUAACAGAAGUAAGAUAUCGAAGUCGGCGAAGGCCGGACUGCAAUUUCCUGUCGCAAGGAUCGGUCGGUACCUUAAGAAAGGCCGUUAUGCACAGCGCACUGGCGCCGGAGCUCCGAUCUACUUGGCUGCUGUCCUCGAAUAUCUCGCCGCUGAGGUUUUGGAAUUGGCUGGGAAUGCUGCUCGUGACAACAAGAAGAACAGGAUAAACCCUAGGCAUGUUCUUCUGGCUGUGAGGAAUGAUGAGGAGCUUGGAAAAUUGCUUCAAGGAGUCACCAUUGCCAGUGGUGGUGUUCUUCCAAACAUUCAUCCAGUCCUCCUUCCCAAGAAGUCAUCGUCAAAUUCCACUUCUCCUGCAGAAAAGGCUCAGAAAUCGCCAAAGAAGGCCUAAAUUAAGUCUCAAUAUUGUUCAUCUCCUUAUCGGAGUUCUACCGGAUGGGCAGGGUGCAGUCACGGGUUUAACAGACGUUCGUGAGUUAUCCCGAGCAAUGAAGACGGCGCCAGAUGAUUCAGUUUCUGUGAUAGGAUUCGAGCUCAUACAACAUGCUUUGGCGGAUUGCCGCUGUUGGCGCUGCUGGUUGUUUGUUCUUGUAUGCCACAAUCGGAACAGAUGAUGGUAUGUUCUUGAGCUUUUCGAAUGGCAAUAAAGAAAUUAAUGUAUGGAAAUAGUUUUUAAACUCGAGUUUCGUGCUGUCUGCUUUUCUUUUUGAAUUUACACUAUAGCAUAUGAAAACAAAAGUGGUUUUUCUUUGAGAAAAGCUAAAGGGAAAGGAUGUUUUCUUUAGAACAUAUUCUGUGGAGAUCAAUAUAUGACCUAAUAUUCCAAUAUUCUAUAUAUCAAAUUUUCAAAACCAUUCGUGCAACUUUUUUCAUAUCAUACACACAGUAUCAAUGGAUCUAAAUUUGUGUUAAUC